rnacentral:lncRNA from 1 species
CCGGUCGGUCCCGUACGACUUCUACAAUGGUGGUUCUGAAGCCAGAAUUCAUUGUGCAAUCGAUUCCUUCUCACACACUUUUCAAACCCUAGGUUUAUUCACGCUAUCACAGCUCCGAUUAACCUUCACCGUUCCGAUCAUCUUCUCUGACGAAUGGAUACAUCUGCAUCUGCAACAUCUUCAUCAAACUCGCAUAUUAUUUUAUGAUGAUGAACUUAGGUAUUAUUCAUUUAUGAACCAUCUGAGACAGAACCAGGGGUUUAUCUUAAUCCAUAUGAAAAUGUGAUUUGUACCAAAUGUGUAUACCGGGUUUUGUUUUCUCUAGCCAAUUUGAUUUGAAAAUGUCGAGCUAUGAUGCGUAAGCUAAGAUGAAAGGCUAUGAUGGUUGCUUGAGCCUCUGUAGUUGGCUAAGAAACUCUGUAUAUGUGGUGCUUGAUGGAAUGCUUUAAAGUUGUGAUGAUCGUUGUAAUUUGAGGGGAAAUCGAAGAUCCAGGUAGCAUCUUGGCAGGGCAAGACCCAGAUGGCAUAGUUUCACUGGGCAACUGUGUGUUUGCAGCCAUGUUGUUACCAGGGUGUUAUAUGUGUUCAUCCCUCAAUUACAUGUCCGAGCUUUUUAAGGUUGUUUUGAUAAACCAGGGGUUGUGUUUUAGGGUACAUCGAGCAUCCGGGUAGCAUGUUGGUGAGGCAACAUCCAGAUGGCAUAGUGCUCACUUUGCAACUGUGUGUUUGCAGCGAUGGCGUAACCCGUUCUUAGAUGUGUUCAUCCCUCGAUUACAUAUCCGAGCUUUCAAGCGUUUCUUGGUCGUUGAUGGUCUUUGGUUCCAUUUGUUUCUCUUUGUUGUUGAUCUUGCUUGCUAUAGUCCUUGCUCUCUAGGAGUAAAGGUUUUUUCCGAUUAAUGAAGAGGUGGUCGCCUAACUAGAAAUCGAGUCAAAGCUGGUUAUUUUUUAUUCAAUUACUUCUACAAAUGAAUGCAUUGUAACACCGUGGGGUAUGGUGGGGUGUGGGUUGGGGGCAUGGUGCGACACGUAGAGUAUGGGGCACCCAAGACCAAAAGCCAAUUUCAAAAGGGGUAUGGUGGGGCGUGGUUGGGGUGACGUGGAAAAAAAACCAAUUUCAAAGGACUAGUGCUCUUGGCCAACGAGGUUCCGCCAUGUCAUGUUCGUAGCCCCGCCCAACGCCCGGGCUGAAACCCCCGUCCAAGGGGCCACGCCGAAACCCAAGCCCACCCGGGGUGGUGACGUGAGCGUUUGUACCCAACCCCCGCCCCAUACCCCAUAGUCUAACAUCUUCUACUGUAGGGGGAGUUGAAACUAAAGAAUUUUGAUAUAGUAAAAGUUGGACGUAGUGGCAGAGCACUUGUAAAGAGUUAUAUAUUGACAUGAAGUAAUGGGUCUCCCGUCGCAACGUGCGGGGGACAGUCGAAUUUGUAUUUUUUGGCUGUUUGAGUUGGUAUUUAGUUAAAGGUCCUUGAAGAUUUUAUUGUUGUAAUGUCGGCUCCGUUUAUGAUAGUUUUUGCUCCUUAAACAAAAGAAAAUAAACAAGGAGGUAUAGGAUUGAAGCCUGCAUUGUUUUGAGUUUAAACUUGGUUGAUUUGAAAAGGACUGUGAAGACAUCGUUUAUGAUGGGCUCAAUUUGUCACACCCCAACCAAUGACGGAAACAUCGGGAUGAGACGAAGUGUGAAGAUUGCAAGAGACUUCAUAACGCUAUUUGUGACAAUAUUUAAUAAAUCGAUUUCAUU